AUACGGAGGAUCCGAGCGUUAUCCGGAUUUAUUGGGUUUAAAGGGUGCGCAGGCGGCCAUUUAAGUCAGCGGUUAAAUCGUGGGGCUCAACCCCAUUCUGCCGUUGAUACUGGGUGGCUUGAUUGCGGUCGAGGUUGGCGGAAUUCGUUGUGUAGCGGUGAAAUGCAUAGAUAUGACGAAGAACACCGAUUGCGUAGGCAGCUGACCAGACCGCAAAUGACGCUCAUGCACGAAGGUGUGGGUAUCAAACAGGAUUAGAUACCCUGGUAGUCCACACAGUAAACUAUGAAUACUCGCUGUUUGCGAUAUACAGUAAGCGGCCAAGCGAAAGCAUUAAGUAUUCCACCUGGGGAGUACGCCGGCAACGGUGAAACUCAAAUGAAUUGACGGGG
rnacentral:rRNA from 1 species